rnacentral:tRNA from 1 species
UAGAGAUUAGUUUAACCAAAACAGCUACCUUCGAACUAGCAACUUCAGAUAAACCCUGAAUCCCUGA